rnacentral:rRNA from 1 species
AGCAGCAGCCGCGGUAAUACGUAGGGGGCAAGCGUUAUCCGGAUUUACUGGGUGUAAAGGGAGCGCAGACGGCAGUGCAAGUCUGAAGUGAAAGGCGUGGGCUCAACCCAUGAACUGCUUUGGAAACUGUAUAGCUUGAGUGUCGGAGGGGUAAGCGGAAUUCCUAGUGUAGCGGUGAAAUGCGUAGAUAUUAGGAGGAACACCGGAGGCGAAGGCGGCUUACUGGACGACAACUGACGUUGAGGCUCGAAGGCGUGGGGAGCAAACAGGAUUAGAGACCCUGUAGUCCCUGUCUCUUAUACA